rnacentral:tRNA from 1 species
GGCGGGAUGGUGGAAUUGGUAGACACGCUGGAUUCAAAAUCCAGUUCUGGCAACAGAGUGGGGGUUCAAGUCCCCCUCCCGCUACCA